GCUUCCUUAGCUCAGUCGGUAGAGCGCGAGUCUCAUAGCUUAUGACGGGCCUUUGCGCUCGGUAAUCUCGAGGUCGCAAGUUCGAGCCUUGCAGGGAGCA